rnacentral:lncRNA from 1 species
GGAUGUCUAAUGAGUGUCUAGAAUGUAUCUGAGACCUGUGGUGUUGCGAGCCCUCUCUCUUCAGCACUGAAGAAACCCUUGCUUUCUAGAGCUAGCAAGAGUUAAGGAUGCUGCAUGCCGCUUGGCUGGGGGCCAUGGCCUUGGCCUUUUGCUGGUUAUAUAUCUUGGCUGUUUCAUACGGCAUUUAGAGUUGCCUUUGAGUGGCCCCCUUGCAUCUUUUAGAUGUCCCCCACCUCCAUCCCCCAAGCAGUAAUAGACACAGUUCUAAACCGAAGUUCCAAAGGUUGGUGACUGCUACGCAGACUCAGUCAGCAAACAGUUUCAAAACGUUUGGCCAUCCUGAAGUGUGAGUCUUACUGUUGAUUCGUGCUGGGUGAGCAUCCCGGUGUCCUGACCUAGAAGGAGGAUUCUGGAAUAAUGCCUUUUUUUUUUCUAUUGUCUGAAAUUUGUUUGUACCUCAGUUUCCCCAGAUGUAAGCCCACAGCUGUGUGUGAAUCGACCUCUGAAGGUCAUGAUCAAAAGCUUCUAGUAUUUUUCCAUGUGUUUGUUUGUUCUUCUCCAGCCUCAGACCCUCUCCUUGAAGGAGCUGGCCUUGACAGUGACUCUAGUGGGCAGCCAUCCAGAGUUGGGGUACCCUGCUGAGCCCAGUAACUCUAACCUGGCCGGGCCAGCACCAGAGGGCCACUCUUCAAAGAAGCCCUUUGAAGCGCAAACAUUUCCUUUCCUGAAAAGAAGGGAAAUUGCAACCAAAAACGUAUUGUUCUGUGCGGACAAUGUUCCCUUCGAUCAAAGAGGGAGUGGGGCUUAUAAAGGUAGAUUCACAAAUUAGACCUGGGCGCCAUCCUGCGUGUGUGUGACUGUCACUGUGGAAGGGCUCAUUGUGGAUCUCUAAGGUUGGUAAGACUCCAUUUUCCCUUUUUCCUUAGGAUCCUGGGUCUAGGUCUACUAAUACAUUGGACUGUGUCUCUAGCAUGUUCCUGACAAUGUCUACUGGUAAAUUACGAUAGCUUCAAGUUAGACUAGAAAUGGUGUUUUCCAAGAAUAUUUGAUAUUAGGGGAAAUGUUUAACGUUAAAGGUGAAAAAAUCUGGAUAUAUUGCACAGAAAAAGAAAAAGAUGCUAAAAUUAGAUUUUAGGAUCUGGGUGGGAGUGGCUCCCAGUGGUUAGGACAUGUGCUCAUUAGCAUGUGAGAGGCUCUAGGCUCUCAAUAGCAAUAUAAAUAAACACUGUUCUGUUUGCUGCUUAUAGACCCUAAAAUACUGUUCAACAAAUACUUACUGAAUGUUUACGUAAACGGUAGAAUAUGUUUAAAGGAACCAUGUCUCUGAGGUGAAUGGUAAUGCUCUGGCAGGUGGGCGCGGCCAUAAAUUAAUUUUAAUUUCUCAGUGAUCCUGCCCUGGCCUCUCAGAAUGGGGACUGUUUUGUUCUUCGUUGCACACACACCCAUUGCACAGGUGUGGGUGGUUCAGCUUUCCCAGUUAGUGUUAUAGGAUGUUUGAGUUUUCGCUAGAUUUGCUCAUUGUUGUCAGAAAGGGUCAAGCAGCAGCUGGGUUCUCCUAGCAACUACCCACCUCAGUGGAGAACUUGACCUGCCCUCCAUUUGUCACCUCUGAGCACCGGUUUUAGCAAGACCCUCUGGCCACGUUCCGAGUGAAUAGUUUUCUGAGAGGGACCUUUGUCUACCUGCAGCAUCUGCUGGCUCUGAGGUGUAUGUCCCUUGGUCAGGGAAGGCGCCCAGUGCCAUCCCCUUCAUCCUGUUAGCCACUCUAUCCCUUUGCCUGAUGGUGCAGGUCUGCAGUGGGUGUGACCUUCUAGAAGGCUGGCCUCAGAGAAUUUUUCUCUGGUCUGAUCGUACCCAUGCACCAGACAGAGUCUUCAAGCUUCUUUGACUACAAAUUGAAGUAAGAAUUAAACUUACUUGGGACCAAGUCCACACAGGGACACACUGACUCAUAAAUAGAUUGGCUAUAAAGUCUGUGGGUCUUUUCUUCAGCUCUUCCCACGGUGUGCACUAAGGGUGUGUGUUUCCUAGAAGUGGAUGUGUGUUUAUUCACUACGGUGCUUCGAGUUGUUCUUGGGUUCAUUUCCUUCAGUGGGAUUUGAGGAAGAGCCCCAUCUGAAAGGUUAGAGACCUUGUCUUUCAGAGUUAAGGACUGUGAGAGGAACUGGGAAAAGUUGCUCACAGAAAGAUAAAUGUGAAGUUGUGGAGUCUGACGGCUUGAAAUCGGAAUAC